rnacentral:rRNA from 1 species
AGUGAACGCUGGCGGUAGGCCUAACACAUGCAAGUCGAACGGCAGCACAGUGAGAGCUUGCUCUUACGGGUGGCGAGUGGCGGACGGGUGAGGAAUACAUCGGAAUCUACUUUUUCAUGGGGGAUAACGUAGGGAAACUUACGCUAAUACCGCAUACGACCUACGGGUGAAAGCAGGGGAUCUUCGGACCUUGCGCGAUUGAAUGAGCCGAUGUCGGAUUAGCUAGUUGGCGGGGUAAAGGCCCACCAAGGCGACGAUCCGUAGCUGGUCUGAGAGGAUGAUCAGCCACACUGGAACUGAGACACGGUCCAGACUCCUACGGGAGGCAGCAGUGGGGAAUAUUGGACAAUGGGCGCAAGCCUGAUCCAGCCAUACCGCGUGGGUGAAGAAGGCCUUCGGGUUGUAAAGCCCUUUUGUUGGGAAAGAAAAGCAGCAGGUUAAUACCCCGCUGUUCUGACGGUACCCAAAGAAUAAGCACCGGCUAACUUCGUG